rnacentral:rRNA from 1 species
AACGAACGCUGGCGGCAUGCCUAACACAUGCAAGUCGAACGAAACCUUCGGGUCUAGUGGCGCACGGGUGCGUAACGCGUGGGAACCUGCCCUUAGGUUCGGAAUAACUCCCCGAAAGGGGUGCUAAUACCGGAUAAUGUCUUCGGACCAAAGAUUUAUCGCCUUUGGAUGGGCCCGCGUUGGAUUAGCUCGUUGGUAGGGUAAAAGCCUACCAAGGCGACGAUCCAUAGCUUGUCUGAGAGGAUGAUCAGCCACACUGGGACUGAGACACGGCCCAGACUCCUACGGGAGGCAGCAGUGGGGAAUAUUGGAAAAUGGGCGAAAGCCUGAUCCAGCAAUGCCGCGUGAGUGAUGAAGGCCUUAGGGUUGUAAAGCUCUUUUAACCGGGAUGAUAAUGACAGUACCGGGAGAAUAAGCUCCGGCUAACUACGUG